rnacentral:rRNA from 1 species
UGGAGAGUUUGAUCCUGGCUCAGACGAACGCUGGCGGCGUGCUUAACACAUGCAAGUCGAACGGAAAGGUCUCUUCGGAGAUACUCGAGUGGCGAACGGGUGAGUAACACGUGGGCAAUCUGCCCUGCACUUCGGGAUAAGCCUGGGAAACUGGGUCUAAUACCGGAUAGGACCACUUGGCGCAUGCCUUGUGGUGGAAAGCUUUUGCGGUGUGGGAUGGGCCCGCGGCCUAUCAGCUAGUUGGUGGGGUGAUGGCCUACCAAGGCGACGACGGGUAGCCGGCCUGAGAGGGUGUCCGGCCACACUGGGACUGAGAUACGGCCCAGACUCCUACGGGAGGCAGCAGUGGGGAAUAUUGCACAAUGGGCGCAAGCCUGAUGCAGCGACGCCGCGUGGGGGAUGACGGCCUUCGGGUUGUAAACCUCUUUCAGCAGGGACGAAGCGCAAGUGACGGUACCUGCAGAAGAAGCACCGGCAACUACGUGCCAGCAGCCGCGGUA